CACAUUGACGCUGAAAUAUGAAGGAUGUGCAUGAUGUUAGCUGAUGAAGAGAAUUUUCAAGAAGGAAAGAAUAAUUUGUUCAAAAAAGUCAGAGGCAUCCUAAUAUUAUUAACAUUGUACUUGUUUGUAGGUAACAAAUCACCGGUGCAUGUAGGUAAUCCCUUGCAUAAGAUGGAGCAAACACUUAUUUAGAAGACAAACCCCGAGGCAGGUGGGAGGACAUAGUACACUAUUUUCAGAUGAAACCUCAAGCAACAAAGACUGAAGGACCCACCAAAAGCAUAUGAUAGACAAGAGCUUAAAACCCACGGCAACCCAAUGCUUAAGAAUAAGUACUGUAUGAAUAUGUUUUUUCUGACAAGGAAGCAUAAAUGAACAUUAUAGACUUGACAUAUAGCCCAAUAUGAGGGUCAAAGUGGCAUAGAAGCUUAUUUUACAUCAAAGGAACUAAAAAUUGGCAAUUUUUCAGGGUCUUUAUAGUAAAUAGUUAGGGCACAUUUAAGAAAACAUAGAUAAAAGAAGUGGAGAAAAGAAUAACCUGAGAUGGAAGAUAAAUGGGUUGGAUAGAAGGCAGCAAACUUCAUUUGGGAGGGAGUAAUCUGGGAGAAGCGGCAGCAGCAGUCGGAGUCGGAUCAGAAUUCAGCCGCAUUCCCACAUAAAGUCAGAAAUAUUGAAACUUGAGGGGGAGGAAGUAUCAAAUCUAAAAUCUACUGAAAUCCCGUAACACUAACAAUGAAUCAUCAGCAUAGUGGUGCAGGUAUAGCUUGCUUUUCUAUGCUUUUUAUUUAUUUCGGGUGGGUAAGGGUAAUGGGUAUGUGGGGAAUAUGAUACUCUAGUUUAAUAGAAAUGGGUUAUUCUCUCCUCAGCCCGGCCAUUUUAAUCAUCACCAUUGUUGGAUACAAACGAUGCCGACAGAAAGCGACCUGGCGCCGACACAUAAAUUAGUCCUCUGCACCUCUAUACAACUCAAAGAUACCCCAACAACAUAAUAAUAAAAAAUACAAACACAUUUCAAAUCAUUGCGGGAAAUAAACAAACAAAUUAAUUAAUAAAAAAGAGGGAAAUCCCACUUUUUCAAUUGUGUAAAUAACAAGGAAAGAAAAUGGAGCUGGAAGGAAGAAGACGAAGACAAGUAAUCGGAAUUAUUAUUAUUAUUCCUACUUAGUACUAGUAGUAUUAUACUAAUAGUUUUCAAGUAGAAGCAGCGGCUGUAACCGUAUGAAAAACACUAUUUAAGGAAUAAAUUUUGUUGUUGAGGCAAAAGAGUGUUUGUGUGGGUUGUAAAGUAUAAUGGCAGAGGUUAUCCGCUACUGCAAGUUGUGGACAGUAUUUACAUUUAUUCUUUUUUUUCCAACUAGUAUACUAGCACUAUGUAUUAUAGUAUGUUUGGCCAAAGUGCAAAACAUCAGUUUAUUUUGAAAAAUAUUUUUUUUUCAAAAGUAUUUUUGGUUAAAAGCAGUUUAUGUUUGGCGAAUUAAUUUGAAAAAUAUUUCUGUGCAGCAAUUAAUGUUUG
rnacentral:lncRNA from 1 species